GAAAAGAUCAAAAGAAAGCAACGUCAAUGGAGGGAGGGAAGAGGGAAACUGAGUGCGAGGAAGAUGCGUCAUAGAACAGGUUUUAUUCUUGUUGCAAUUUGUGAUCAUGGAAUCUAUGUUCUAGCAAUUCUUGAAUGCAACUGCUUUAUGGCUGUUGCCUUCAAAAUGUAUGCUCCCUUCUUCUCUCUGAACACCUAGCAGAGUAUAUGCUUCCAAGACAAGAAAUCCUCGCCUCCUUUAGCUCAAUUAGCUGCAGUAGAUACCAGAUUUAGCAAAUUCAUGAUGUAGUCACUUAUUGUAUUAUAUUUAGAAAUCUUCCCUAAUCUCUUAUAACUGUGUAACUCGAGAAAACUACUAUGAAAUGGAGUGACACUCCCAGAGAGCAAAUAUGAUCUGCAGCUUCCAAGGAUGACAGCAUAAUUUGGAUUAAGCAUUCACCCAUUCCCUCUAUUGUUUUUGUUUGUUUGUUUGUUUUUUUAAUCUUUUCUAGUGGCAUAGUAAUGAUUGUUGUGCAUUUUGUGCAUGUUAAUAUUGGGGUUGAUGUAAUAAAGCGACAAUUUAACUAUUCACCGUGGCAAGUUUCAUACUUCUAUAAGUUCAACUGUCUGGCAAGUUGCAUGUGUAGGUACCUGUCAAGGAUUAACAAAAUUAAUUAUGUGAUUCAAAAGGAUGCUAGGUGUCUAACCAAUAUUGGUGACACAUAAGAGACAAAAUUGCUCGAGUGUAAGUUCAAAUAAAGUCUUUAUUACCCCCAAACAUAUUAAUAAAGAGCAUCUUCCUUUAUUAUAUUAUUUCAGAGUUACAUUAAGAGAAGUUGAUGAGUAGCCUAGUAAUAUUAGUGUAUAUGUCAAACAUCAGGGAUUGAAGAGGUGAAAGUGUAGGUCCAUGUCCAAAUUGUAGAGAAUGAGAAGUCAAAGAAAUGAAGUUGAGAAAAUCACCGAAGCCGCCUUCUUUAUAGGAUAAUGGGUUCUGCUUGUCCACAAGUUCCGGUGCUGGUCCUACCUUUUUCUCCAGAGCUAGACUGUGCAGGCUAGCAAUUGAAAUUCGACACUUCUCUGAGUUGACUGUUGCUCUGUGGAUGACAGCCUUGAUUUGCAGCCCCUGUUGGUUCUGAAGUAUGAUUGAUAGCAAGCUGUAAUCUGUGUGCGGUGGCAAGCCUAAUGCAAGUUCCGGUUCAGGACAUGCUGGAUAGUAGUUAACAGCCAUGACUUCUGAUCCUUGUUCAAUGUCUUCUUUUAAGGUUUGAAGGCCACAAAUCAAUCCAAGCUGAGAUUGGAUUGCAGUAGUGUUUGAGGAAGUCUCUCCAAAAGUGAACUUUGUCGUUGACAUGAUUUAGGCUGGUGCCAUAUCUCACAGGCUCGUGAACAUUAUCAGACAUCAGCUGCAUUUUAUCUUCGCUUGGCAAAUUAAAGAAUGCAUUUGCAGCAUCUAAGGCACCAUUCAUGACCAAAGUGUAACAUGGACAUUUGAUUAUAUUGUAUGUACCUGGAAGAAACCUAGUUCCUUGCAGGCCAGACGUACUUCCUGAAUCACCCGAGAGCGAAGCAGAGGAUGCUGCAAGGAGGAAAGAUCGAUGAUUGGCAAGUUAGAGGAGUUGGUGUUUUGGGUGCAGUUGGGGCGGUCUGAUGGCGGGAGAAUGUAACUUUUCGGGAGAUGACUUAACCCCCUUCGAGUAAGUGAUGUUGCACUCGUAAAUGAAGCACUUGCUAAAGCAGAGCUCUCCAUCAUGGGGAGCUGCUUCCAUAAAUGAAAAUAGUAUAUGAUAAUGCUACUUGAAGGAUGGGAAACGGGAAAUCACGGCUGAGGGCAACGGUGGGACCCGCAAGCCGCCGCACGAACUGGAAUCUGAAUGGAAAUCUGGGUCAGAGGCAACAUGCAAAUUCAACUGGACUUUUGAGUAUAUAUCAGAGCUAUCCGGUCUCCGUACAUUCAGAUUUCCAUGUACGCGUAAAUCCAUGCAAAUUCAAUCCGCGCCAAGGAGGAUUAUUUUUGCUAUUAUCCUUGCUUCCCAUCUGUUGAAGUGCAUAUUGAUGUAUUAUUAUCUCCCUAUUAUGCUUUGGUGUGGAUGCUCUUAUCAAAUUUCCAUUUCUGUGGAACACACAGUCACAGAUUCAUAUAUUUGGUAGACACUAGACAGUGCAUUUAAUGAUUACUGGACAUGAUGAAUUCGCGGACGAGCAGCCGCUGCUCGGAGCAUUGAAUCCUUGCUAAAAGCGACAAAAACAAUGAUGCGAUUACCGAAAACGGAAAAGGGUAUUGUUUGUAACUUGUAAGCGUGUUGUUUUUUUGGACAUUUGGCUUAGAAAUGAAGAGAGUUCAAUGUAUA